CCUACGGGGGGCAGCAGUGAGGAAUAUUGGUCAAUGCACGAGAGUCUGAACCAGCGAAGUAGCGUGAAGGAUGACUGCCCUCUGGGUUGUAAACUUCUUUUAUAUGGGAAUAAAACGUUCCACGUGUGGGAUUUUGUAUGUACCAUAUGAAUAAGGAUCGGCUAACUUCGUUCCAGGAGCCGCGGUAAUACGGAGGAUCCGAGCGUUAUCCGGAUUUGUUGGGUGUAAAGGGAGCGUAGGUGGGUUGUUAAGUCAGUUGUGAAAGUUUGGGGCUCAACCGUAGAAUUGCAGUUGAAACUGGCAGUCUUGAGUACAGGAGAGGUUGGCGGAAUUCGUGGUGUAGCGGUGAAAUGCUUAGAUAUCACGAAGAACUCCGAUAGCGAAGGCAGUUCACUGGACUGCAACUGACACUGAGGCUCGAAAGUGUGGGUAGCAAACAGGAUUAGAUACCCGGGUAGUC
rnacentral:rRNA from 1 species